AUCAAGAAGCUUGUUAACUCAAUCUUGCAUGCUUAUUAAUUUGACGCAUAACGAGCUAGGUGGCAGCUUGGGAAAAGAAGCAGGUCAAACGGCUUGAAUACGCGGAGAAAGAGCGAAAUCGGAUGAAAGGUGAUUGAAUUAUGCACACGGAUGAAGAUCAAGCUCGAUGAAGAACCGAACACAUGAUAAUAAAGCUUUCGCGUUAAACCCUAUUUGAUUUCAUAAUGUGAAUUAUGGAAACACUUAAGAUUGGUAUUAUGAAUAUUUCAAACUUGUGUGAACACUCUUGAUGGAAAAGUUUUU